GCCAGCAUGGUAUAGUGGUUUGAACAUUGGACUAAAACUCUGGAGGCUAGGGUUCAAAUCCCCACUUGGCC